UACGUAGGGGGCAAGCGUUAUCCGGAAUUACUGGGUGUAAAGGGAGCGUAGACGGUAAUGUAAGUCUGGAGUGAAAGGCGGGGGCCCAACCCCCGGACUGCUCUGGAAACUAUGUUACUGGAGUGCAGGAGAGGUAAGCGGAAUUCCUAGUGUAGCGGUAGAAUGCGUAGAGAUUAGGAGGAACAUCAGAGGCGAAGGCGGCUUACUGGACCAUAACUGACGCUGAGGCUCGAAAGCGUGGGGAGCAAACAGG
rnacentral:rRNA from 1 species